GGAAGUACUGGGCGUAAAGCGUGCGUAGGUGGUUGGUUAAGUCUGAUGUGAAAGCCCUGGGCUCAACCGGGGAAUGGCGUGGGAAACUGGCGGACUGGAGUGCGGUAGAGGGUAGUGGAAUUCCCGGUGUAGCAGUGAAAUGCGUAGAUAUCGGGAGGAACAUCGGUGGCGAAGGCGACUACCUGGACCAGCACUGACACUGAGGCACGAAAGCGUGGGGAGCAAACAG
rnacentral:rRNA from 1 species